CGCCCUUAGAGUUUGAUCAUGGCUCAGAUUGAACGCUGGCGGCAGGCUUAACACAUGCAAGUCGAGCGGUAGGGGAGCUUGCUCCCUACGAGCGGCGGACGGGUGAGUAAUGUCUGGGAAACUGCCUGAUGGAGGGGAUAACUACUGGAAACGGUAGCUAAUACCGCAUAACGUCGCAAGACCAAAGAGGUUCGUCUUGCCAUCAGAUGUGCCCAGAUGGGAUUAGCUAGUAGGUGGGGUAAUGGCUCACCUAGGCGACGAUCCCUAGCUGGUCUGAGAGGAUGACCAGCCACACUGGAACUGAGACACGGUCCAGACUCCUACGGGAGGCAGCAGUGGGGAAUAUUGCACAAUGGGCGCAAGCCUGAUGCAGCCAUGCCGCGUGUGUGAAGAAGGCCUUCGGGUUGUAAAGCACUUUCAGCGAGGAGGAAGGUGGUGAGUAAUCUCAUCAAUUGACGUUACUCGCAGAAGAAGCACCGGCUAACUCCGUGCCAGCAGCCGCGGUAAUACGGAGGGUGCAAGCGUUAAUCGGAAUUACUGGGCGUAAGCGCACGCAGGCGGUUUGUUAAGUCAGAUGUGAAAUCCCCGG
rnacentral:rRNA from 1 species